rnacentral:lncRNA from 1 species
GUCCUGGAGACGCCUGCUGACACUUCACUCUGCUCUUUGGGGCUUUCCCCAGAAGACUGUGGGAUGGACCCCAGCCUAGGGGAUGCUAAGAUGAAUACCAAAAGAGCUCAUUUCAUUCAUCUGCCGUGUUAGCAUCAAACAUCUACUCAAGCCUUGAAACCUGAGAAGGAGAAGCCCUCUGUCCCUAGGAUUAAGGGAUAGGGGGAAUGAAAUAGAUUUCCUGUAUCAAACAUUACACUCUAGUAGAUGAGCCUCCUCUUUAAGAAGCUGUCUUCAAGUGUGCUUAAUUUUGCCUCAAUCGGGUAAAAGAAUUUAGAGUUCUUGAGAGCUACAUGUUUUCAUCAGUAACUCAGGGCUAUCCAUCAUGUCAAGACACUUAAACAGAGGUGAGAUUUGAAGCUGUGAAAGAGAAUGACCAAGGAAGAGGCAGAAGGAAAAUGAGAGGUAACCACUGAAGGAGAUAGACGUGGUCAUGGAGGUUCAGUUGGAGCGGCUCAUGCUCUAGACACAAAGGGCGGAGAGGGAGAAGCUGGUAGAUCCGAAACCAAGAAUGAAAGGAAAAGGCUGCUAUUUAGGCUGUGCCUACUCAGUAGCAGAAAGUCAGCUGCCUUCCCAGUCAGAGACUCGCUUACAGGACUUUAAUUUUGUAUCGCAGACUGAAGUGCUGAGAAAACCACCACCCAGAAUUCUGUGGAUCAAGCCAGAUUGAUGUAUCCCAUCAACCAGAUUCUAUCCCGUGUACAGGGAGGAUGGAAAAGGCUUCUUUAAAGGGAACUUGUGUGUUCUUGCGAUCAUCAAACCCACCAGCAAGGAGGAUGGAAAUAGUCACUUUCUCACAACAGUAGCUACAGAUGUGUUAAUUCUAGUUAAAGCCAUUCCAAACACAUUCCACGAUUUUUACAAGAAAGAAGUCGUUAGAAUCUGAAUACUAUUGUGUGUCUCCACCACCAAAAAGAACAUUUAUCAAGAGUAAUUAGGCAAAUUGAGGGUAUGAACCCCAGAAGAAACAAUGUAUUUUGACAAGAAAAAUUGGUUGGCAAAUGUUAAGGUUUUUAUGAGUAAUCAAGAUGAUUCUUUAAGUAAUUAUAAUUUGUUCUAUACCCUGUCAUGGUUGUUUUGAUUUGUG